rnacentral:rRNA from 1 species
CGGCCUGAAAGGGUGAAUGGCCACCAGGGGACUGAAAACGGCCCUUACUCCUACCGGAGGCAGCAGUGGGGAAUAUUGGACAAUGGGCCACAAGCCUGAUCCAGCAAUUCUGUGUGCACUAAGAAAGUCUUCCGAUUGUAAAGUGCUUUCAGUUGGGAAGAAGAAAGUGACGGUACCUACACAACAAGCGACAGCUAAAUACGUGCCACACCCGCGGUAAUACUUAUGUCGCAAGCGUUAUCCUGAUUUAGUGGGCGUCAAGCGCCUCUAUGCGGAAAAAUAAGUCUGAUGUAAAAAUGCUGGGCUCAACUCCGUAUUGCCUUGGAAACUGUUUUUCUAGAGUACUGGAGAGGUGGGCGGAACUACUAGUGUAGAGGUGAAAUUCAUAUAUAUUUGUACGAAUGCCGAUGGAGAAGUCAGCUCACUGGACAGAUACUGACGCUAACGCGCGAAAGCGUGGGGGAGCAAACAGGAUUAGAUACCCUGGUAGUCCACUGCCAUAAACCAUGCAUCACUAUGUGUUGGGGGUCGAA